AGACUUUGUCCAGAGACGUCAGGGAUGGAUUGUGAACCCUUCAGCCUCAUUACUCAGGGAAGGCCCCGACUGUGUCACACCAGCAGAAUGCACACAUUGCCACACUCAAUGCCCUGGUUCAAGCACCUGAUCUCCAUCUGCAGGGUUAAAUAUUUAUAAAUGUAUACCUGGACACUAUUUCUAUCAACUUUGGCAAGAUUCAAGGAAUGUACCCUUCUAGUGAGAUUUUAAAGAUGGUAUUAAAGGGACAAAGAGAUUUAAGAAGAAAAACAAAAACAAAGAUAAUUUGGCCUGAUACAGUUUUGGAAUGAUGGGCAGUACCAGAUACCUAAAACGGGAAAAGUGCAAAGU